rnacentral:rRNA from 1 species
GCUACGGGUGGCAGCAGUGGGGAAUAUUGCGCAAUGGGGGCAACCCUGACGCAGCAACGCCGCGUGAUUGAAGAAGGCCUUCGGGUUGUAAAGAUCUUUAAUUGGGGACGAAACAAAUGACGGUACCCAAAGAAUAAGCUCCGGCUAACUACGGGCCAGCAGCCGCGGUAAUACGUAGGGGGCAAGCGUUAUCCGGAUUUAUUGGGUUUAAAGGGUGCGCAGGCGGAAGAUCAAGUCAGCGGGAAAAUUGAGAGUCUAAACCUCUUCGAGCUGUUGAAACUGGUUUUCUUGAGUGAGCGAGAAGUAUGCGGAAUGCGUGGUGUAGCGGUGAAAUGCAUAGAUAUCACGCAGAACUCCGAUUGCGAAGGCAGCAUACCGGCGCUCAACUGACGCUCAUGCACGAAAGUGUGGGUAUCGAACAGGAUUAGAUACCCGAGUAGUC